rnacentral:tRNA from 1 species
AAAGUUUUAGCUUAAUUAAAGUGUCUGUUUUGCGUAUAGAAGAUGUGGGUUAGUGUCCUGCAGGUUUUA